UACGGGGGGGGCAAGCGUUGUUCGGAAUUACUGGGCGUAUAGGGCUCGUAGGCGGCCAACUAAGUCAGACGUGAAAUCCCUCAGCUUAACUGGGGAACUGCGUCUGAUACUGGAUGGCUAGAGUGUGGGAGAGGGAUGCGGAAUUCCAGGUGUAGCGGUGAAAUGCGUAGAUAUCUGGAGGAACACCGGUGGCGAAGGCGGUUCUCUGGGACGGUACUGACGCUGAGACGCGAAAGCGUGGGGAGCGAACAGG
rnacentral:rRNA from 1 species